rnacentral:rRNA from 1 species
UACGGAGGAUCCAAGCGUUAUCCGGAUUUAUUGGGCUUAAAGGGCGCGCAGGCGGUUUGUUAAGUCUAGGGUGAAAGCUCCCGGCUCAACUGGGAGAGGUCCUUGGAUACUGGCGAACUUGAGGGAUGCAGAGGAAAGCGGAAUUCCGGGUGUAGCGGUGAAAUGCGUAGAUAUCCGGAGGAACACCGGUGGCGAAGGCGGCUUCCUGGACCGACACUGACGCUGAGGCGCGAAAGCUAGGGGAGCAAACGGG